rnacentral:tRNA from 2 species
UAUAUUUUAGUGUAUGAGGCACAAUAGUUUUUGAUACUAUUAGAUAUAGUUUAAUUCUAUAAAAUAUAA